CCUGGCGGCCGUAGCGCGGUGGUCCCACCUGACCCCAUGCCGAACUCAGAAGUGAAACGCCGUAG
rnacentral:rRNA from 9 species